CAGCCGCCGCGGUAAAACGGAGGGGGCUAGCGUUGUUCGGAAUUACUGGGCGUAAAGCGCACGUAGGCGGCUUGGUAAGUUAGAGGUGAAAGCCCAGGGCUCAACCCUGGAAUUGCCUUUAAGACUGCCGAGCUAGUAGGUGAGAGAGGUGAGUGGAAUUCCGAGUGUAGAGGUGAAAUUCGUAGAUAUUCGGAAGAACACCAGUGGCGAAGGCGGCUCACUGGCCCAUUACUGACGCUGAGGCUCGAAAGCGUGGGGAGCAAACGGGAUUAGAUACCCCGGUAGUCCCUGUCUCUUAUAC
rnacentral:rRNA from 1 species